GGGGUUGUGGCUCAGAGGUAGAGCGCUUGCCUGGGAUGUAUGAGGCACUGGGUUCGAUCCUCAGCACCA
rnacentral:tRNA from 1 species